rnacentral:rRNA from 1 species
UCGGGAAUUUUGGGCAAUGGGGGAAACCCUGACCCAGCAACGCCGCGUGAAGGAUGAAGUAUUUCGGUAUGUAAACUUCGAAAGAAUAGGAAGAAUAAAUGACGGUACUAUUUAUAAGGUCCGGCUAACUACGUGCCAGCAGCCGCGGUAAUACGUAGGGACCAAGCGUUGUUCGGAUUUACUGGGCGUAAAGGGCGCGUAGGCGGCAUGACAAGUCACUUGUGAAAUCUCUGGGCUUAACCCAGAACGGCCAAGUGAUACUGUCGCGCUAGAGUGCAGAAGGGGCAAUCGGAAUUCUUGGUGUAGCGGUGAAAUGCGUAGAUAUCAAGAGGAACACCUGAGGUGAAGACGGGUUGCUGGGCUGACACUGUCGCUGAGGCGCGAAAGCCAGGGGAGCAAACGGGAUUAGAUACCCGCGUAGUCCCUGAGCGGGCUGGCAAGGCGCAU